UACGUAGGGGGCUAGCGUUGUCCGGAUUUAUUGGGCGUAAAGAGCGUGUAGGCGGCUUGGUAGGUCCGCUGUGAAAACUCGAGGCUCAACCUCGAGAUGUCGGCGGAAUCCACUUGGCUAGAGUCCGGAAGAGGAGACUGGAAUUCCUGGUGUAGCGGUGAAAUGCGCAGAUAUCAGGAGGAACACCGGUGGCGAAGGCGGGUCUCUGGGCCGAAAUUGACGCUGAGGAGCGAAAGCGUGGGGAGCAAACAGG
rnacentral:rRNA from 1 species